rnacentral:rRNA from 1 species
CACGUAGGGUGCGAGCGUUGUCCGGAAUUAUUGGGCGUAAAGGGCGCGUAGGCGGCCGUUUGCGUCGGAUGUGAAAGCCCGGGGCUCAACCUCGGAACGGCAUUCGAUACGGGACGGCUGGAGACCGGGAGAGGAGAGUGGAAUAGCCAGUGUAGAGGUGAAAUUCGUAGAUAUUGGCUGGAACACCGGUGGCGAAAGCGGCUCUCUGGCCCGGUUCUGACGCUGAGGAGCGAAAGCGUGGGGAGCGAACAGG